rnacentral:rRNA from 1 species
CCUACGGGAGGCAGCAGUAGGGAAUCUUUCACAAUGGGCGAAAGCCUGAUGGAGCAACGCCGCGUGCAGGAUGAAGGCCUUCGGGUUGUAAACUGCUUUUAUAAGCGAGAAAUAUGAUGGUAACUUAUGAAUAAGGAUCGGCUAACUACGUGCCAGCAGCCGCGGUCAUACGUAGGAUCCGAGCAUUAUCCCGAGUGACUGGGUGUAAAGAGUUGCGUAGGUGGCAUAAUAAGUAGCUAGUGAAAUCUGGUGGCUCAACCAUUCAGACUAUUAGCUAAACUGUUAAGCUCGAGACCGUUAGGGGUAACUGGAAUUUCUAGUGUAGGAGUGAAAUCCGUAGAUAUUAGAAGGAACACCAAUAGCGUAGGCAGGUUGCUGGGACGGUUCUGACACUAAGGCACGAAAGCGUAGGGAGCAAACGGGAUUAGAUACCCCAGUAGUC